UACGUACUGGGCGAACGUUAUUCGGAAUCACUGGGCUUAAAGGGUGCGUAGGCGGUUAGAUAAGUAGGAUGUGAAAUCCCCCGGCCCAACCGGGGAACUGCGUUCUAAACUGUCUGACUUGAGUAAGAUAGGGGUGUGUGGAACUUCCAGUGGAGCGGUGAAAUGUGUUGAUAUUGGAAGGAACGCCGGUGGCGAAAGCGGCACACUGGGUCUUAACUGACGCUGAGGCACGAAAGCUAGGGUAGCGAACGGG
rnacentral:misc_RNA from 1 species